AGAGUUUGAUCAUGGCUCAGAGCGAACGCUGGCGGCGUGCUUAACACAUGCAAGUCGAGUGCGCGUUUCCGUAGCAAUACGGAAAUGGCGCACGGCGCACGGGUGCGUAACACGUGGGUAAUCUGCCCUUCGAUGGGGAAUAACUCGCCGAAAGGCGAGCUAAUUCCGCAUAACAUUCCUUGGACUCCGGUCUGAGGAUUCAAAGGCGUAAGUCGUCGGAGGUGGAGCCCGCGCACGAUUAGCUAGUUGGUGAGGUAAUGGCUCACCAAGGCUAUGAUCGUUAGCUGGUCUGAGAGGAUGGCCAGCCACACUGGAACUGAGACACGGUCCAGACUCCUACGGGAGGCAGCAGUGGGGAAUCUUGCACAAUGGGCGAAAGCCUGAUGCAGCGACGCCGCGUGGGGGAUGAAGCUUCUCGGAGUGUAAACCCCUUUCGACCGGGACGAAUACCUCGCAAGAGGGGUGACGGUACCGGUAUAAGAAGCCCCGGCUAACUACGUGCCAGCAGCCGCGGUAAGACGUAGGGGGCCAGCGUUGCUCGGAAUUACUGGGUGUAAAGGGUUCGUAGGCGGUGUAGCAAGUCGGGAGUGAAAUCUCUGGGCUCAACCCAGGGGCUGCUUCCGAAACUGCUGUGCUAGAGUGUGGGAGAGGCGCGUGGAAUUGCAGGUGUAGCGGUGAAAUGCGUAGAUAUCUGCAGGAACACCCGUGGCGAAAGCGGCGCGCUGGACCACUACUGACGCUGAGGAACGAAAGCUAGGGGAGCAAACAGGAUUAGAUACCCUAGUAGUCC
rnacentral:rRNA from 1 species